GGGGGUGAAAAUGGUCUCGACUGGGGAAUUUUGAUGCAUGGAUUGCAAGUAGAGCGUCAUCUCUUGAAACUGGCAACAAUUUUAUCUGCUAACACAGAUUACGCUUUGGCUGCCUGAGGGCGGUCACGAACCUUCGGAAUGCGGCUCCUAAGUCCGAGCAGGUUUGUCAUAAACUGGGGCUUGCCGGGAUAAGCUCCUGCGGUAUUCCGGGACUCAAGCAGGAUCAGGGAAAAGCCGGGUCUGUUUUGGAAGCUUGCUUUUCCUGAAUGCAAUCCAAGACUAAGCUUGUAGACGUUCAUGGGUCAAUCUUCAGGACGCGGGUUCGACACCCGCCACCUCCACU
rnacentral:tmRNA from 1 species